rnacentral:piRNA from 1 species
UCUCAGUGCCAGUCCCGCCACUGCUGA